AGGAAUUCAGGAUAACAAUCAUCUAUGAUUUUGCUAAGGUCAUCAAGGUGGACACAUGCAUAUGGUAUAUUGUGUUAAUUGUGUAUAGGUAACAAGGAUGAUCCCAAGUUAUACUUGCCUUGAUCAAAGCUCUCCUGAGCCUGCUGGUCUUCAAAGGCUCGAUCUUGAUCAACAACGUACGGCUCACCGUCUAUUCCCAAACAUCAAUCAACAACACGCAAUCGAAUGUAGACAAUCAUACACAAAGCA
rnacentral:lncRNA from 1 species